UACACCUACAUUCUCAGCUUAGCUUACACAAUUUGACAUAACAACAUUUCCGGUCUGGUGGCCAAAAACCCCAUUCCCGAAUCCCUCAUUUUCGGUCAUUGCGGCGUAGAUGACUGUGCGGCUGGCCACUUGUAUCUCGCUUUCAUUAUUUCCUUUCUACAAUCGAAGCUCUUUGUAAAUGGGCCUCUUGGUAAGAAGCCCCUAAGUAUACAAGAGAAUCGGGACUGCUUCCAUAACGGAUACUUGAUCGAGUCAAUAUGACUUGAAUUUUUCAUUGUGGGUACGACGUAAGUUUGUAAAUCGCAGUUGGCUGUACGUAAAGUUUGGAGUGUUGCUUAGAUUGUUUCGGAAACAUUGGGUAAAGUUGAUGUUCUCAUCUGAGCUCUCACAAAGAAUGCAGGACUGACUCACAUAAUGGCUGGGGUUGUUAUCAAUGGUAGUUUUGUGCAUUUAUUGGUAUUAUAUCCAUUGGCAUGUUUAUUGAACUUCAAUAAUAUGAGUAAUCGUG